GACGAACGCUGGCGGCGUGCUUAACACAUGCAAGUCGAACGAAGUGGCGAACGGGUGAGUAACGCGUAAUCAACCUGCCCUUCAGAGGGGGACAAAAGUUGGAAACGACUGCUAAUACCGCAUACUGAAGGAGGGGAUUGCGUCUGAUUAACAAGUUGGGGGGGUGACGGCCCACCAAGGCGAUGAUCAGUAGCCGGUCUGAGAGGAGGAACGGCCAAAUUGGGACUGCGGAACGGGCCCGACUCCCACGGGAGGGAGCAGGGGGGAAAUGUCCGAAAUGGAAGGAAGUCUGACGGAGCAACGCCGCGUGAGUUAUGACGGCCUUCGGGUUGUAAAGCUCUGUUAAUCGGGACGCGGUACCGGAAUAGAAAGCCACGGCUAACUACGUGCCAGCAGCCGCGGUAAUUC
rnacentral:rRNA from 1 species